UACGAAGGGGCUAGCGUUGUUCGGAAUCACUGGGCGUAAAGGGCGCGUAGGCGGCUUUGUAAGUCGGGGGUGAAAGCCUGUGGCUCAACCACAGAAUUGCCUUCGAUACUGCAUGGCUUGAGACCGGAAGAGGUAAGUGGAACUGCGAGUGUAGAGGUGAAAUUCGUAGAUAUUCGCAAGAACACCAGUGGCGAAGGCGGCUUACUGGUCCGGUUCUGACGCUGAGG
rnacentral:rRNA from 1 species